AAUAAGGUUUUUUAGUCUUCUAAACUAAUGAUGGAUUUUUCCUCUUAUUU
rnacentral:tRNA from 1 species